rnacentral:rRNA from 1 species
AAUGCAGUCGAGCGGACAGAAGGGAGCUUGCUCCCGGAUGUUAGCGGCGGACGGGUGAGUAACACGUGGGUAACCUGCCUGUAAGACUGGGAUAACUCCGGGAAACCGGAGCUAAUACCGGAUAGUUCCUUGAACCGCAGGUUCAAGGAUGAAAGACGGUUUCGGCUGUCACUUACAGAUGGACCCGCGGCGCAUUAGCUAGUUGGUGGGGUAAUGGCUCACCAAGGCGACGAUGCGUAGCCGACCUGAGAGGGUGAUCGGCCACACUGGGACUGAGACACGGCCCAGACUCCUACGGGAGGCAGCAGUAGGGAAUCUUCCGCAAUGGACGAAAGUCUGACGGAGCAACGCCGCGUGAGUGAUGAAGGUUUUCGGAUCGUAAAGCUCUGUUGUUAGGGAAGAACAAGUGCGAGAGUAACUGCUCGCACCUUGACGGUACCUAACCAGAAAGCCACGGCUAACUACGUGCCAGCAGCCGCGGUAAUACGUAGGUGGCAAGCGUUGUCCGGAAUUAUUGGGCGUAAAGGGCUCGCAGGCGGUUUCUUAAGUCUGAUGUGAAAGCCCCCGGCUCAACCGGGGAGGGUCAUUGGAAACUGGGAAACUUGAGUGCAGAAGAGGAGAGUGGAAUUCCACGUGUAGCGGUGAAAUGCGUAGAGAUGUGGA